UACGUAGGAUGCAAGCGUUGUCCGGAAUUAUUGGGCGUAAAGCGAACGUAGGCGGUUUCUUAAGUUUGGUCUUAAAGACCGGGGCUCAACCCCGGGAAUGGAUCGAAAACUGGGAGACUAGAGGAUGUCAGAGGAAAGUGGAAUUCCGAGUGUAGCGGUGAAAUGCGUAGAUAUUCGGAGGAACACCGGUGGUGUAAACGGCUUUCUGGACCGUAACUGACGCUGAGGCACGAAAGCGUGGGGAGCAAACAGG
rnacentral:rRNA from 1 species